UCUCACCUAAUUGUAUAUAUAUAUAUUUUUCUCCACUUCCUUAAAGACAAAAUACAGUCACGUGGUUACUAAAUACACCCAUUACAUACAUUCAACUUUUCCUCAAUUGCUUGCCCAUUUUGCGGUUUUGUGGUCACAACUCACAAAGAUGGAGCCUCCACCAGCACAAGCCAUAGACACUUCCACCAAGACUUUUCAGCCUGGAGAAGCUGAACAAGACAGAGCUGUUAAUGAAUGUUGUUCUUGUUUUUAUGACAUCACAGAGACCUGCUUUAAUUACUUAUGCUGCUACAACUUCUGUUGAGAGACUAGUUGGGUCCUAUUUAUGUAUUAAGAAUAUUAGUAUUAUUAUUGUUACUACUUAUUGCUAUGACAGGAAAAAAAAGAGAGAGAGUUUAUAAAAGAAAAUAAUAUACUUGUUAACUAGUAGUUUUUCUUUAGUGGUUUACAGUAAUACCCAGAAUCUCAUGCUUAACCUUAACAGGUAUUUUGUGUUUGUCAUUUGACUAACUUUGAUGAUCUCGAGUACUUAUUAUAUAGAUAUUUAUUUUCUUUUUACAA